GGUUAAGCGACUAAGCGUACACGGUGGNNNNNNNNNNNNNNNNNGGCGAUGAAGGACGUGCUAAUCUGCGAUAAGCGUCGGUAAGGUGAUAUGAACCGUUAUAACCGGCGAUUUCCGAAUGGGGAAACCCAGUGUGUUUCGACACACUAUCAUUAACUGAAUCCAUAGGUUAAUGAGGCGAACCGGGGGAACUGAAACAUCUAAGUACCCCGAGGAAAAGAAAUCAACCGAGAUUCCCCCAGUAGCGGCGAGCGAACGGGGAGCAGCCCAGAGCCUGAAUCAGUGUGUGUGUUAGUGGAAGCGUCUGGAAAGGCGCGCGAUACAGGGUGACAGCCCCGUACACAAAAAUGCACAUGCUGUGAGCUCGAUGAGUAGGGCGGGACACGUGGUAUCCUGUCUGAAUAUGGGGGGACCAUCCUCCAAGGCUAAAUACUCCUGACUGACCGAUAGUGAACCAGUACCGUGAGGGAAAGGCGAAAAGAACCCCGGCGAGGGGAGUGAAAAAGAACCUGAAACCGUGUACGUACAAGCAGUGGGAGCACGCUUAGGCGUGUGACUGCGUACCUUUUGUAUAAUGGGUCAGCGACUUAUAUUCUGUAGCAAGGUUAACCGAAUAGGGGAGCCGAAGGGAAACCGAGUCUUAACUGGGCGUUAAGUUGCAGGGUAUAGACCCGAAACCCGGUGAUCUAGCCAUGGGCAGGUUGAAGGUUGGGUAACACUAACUGGAGGACCGAACCGACUAAUGUUGAAAAAUUAGCGGAUGACUUGUGGCUGGGGGUGAAAGGCCAAUCAAACCGGGAGAUAGCUGGUUCUCCCCGAAAGCUAUUUAGGUAGCGCCUCGUGAAUUCAUCUCCGGGGGUAGAGCACUGUUUCGGCAAGGGGGUCAUCCCGACUUACCAACCCGAUGCAAACUGCGAAUACCGGAGAAUGUUAUCACGGGAGACACACGGCGGGUGCUAACGUCCGUCGUGAAGAGGGAAACAACCCAGACCGCCAGCUAAGGUCCCAAAGUCAUGGUUAAGUGGGAAACGAUGUGGGAAGGCCCAGACAGCCAGGAUGUUGGCUUAGAAGCAGCCAUCAUUUAAAGAAAGCGUAAUAGCUCACUGGUCGAGUCGGCCUGCGCGGAAGAUGUAACGGGGCUAAACCAUGCACCGAAGCUGCGGCAGCGACGCUUAUGCGUUGUUGGGUAGGGGAGCGUUCUGUAAGCCUGUGAAGGUGUGCUGUGAGGCAUGCUGGAGGUAUCAGAAGUGCGAAUGCUGACAUAAGUAACGAUAAAGCGGGUGAAAAGCCCGCUCGCCGGAAGACCAAGGGUUCCUGUCCAACGUUAAUCGGGGCAGGGUGAGUCGACCCCUAAGGCGAGGCCGAAAGGCGUAGUCGAUGGGAAACAGGUUAAUAUUCCUGUACUUGGUGUUACUGCGAAGGGGGGACGGAGAAGGCUAUGUUGGCCGGGCGACGGUUGUCCCGGUUUAAGCGUGUAGGCUGGUUUUCCAGGCAAAUCCGGAAAAUCAAGGCUGAGGCGUGAUGACGAGGCACUACGGUGCUGAAGCAACAAAUGCCCUGCUUCCAGGAAAAGCCUCUAAGCAUCAGGUAACAUCAAAUCGUACCCCAAACCGACACAGGUGGUCAGGUAGAGAAUACCAAGGCGCUUGAGAGAACUCGGGUGAAGGAACUAGGCAAAAUGGUGCCGUAACUUCGGGAGAAGGCACGCUGAUAUGUAGGUGAAGUCCCUCGCGGAUGGAGCUGAAAUCAGUCGAAGAUACCAGCUGGCUGCAACUGUUUAUUAAAAACACAGCACUGUGCAAACACGAAAGUGGACGUAUACGGUGUGACGCCUGCCCGGUGCCGGAAGGUUAAUUGAUGGGGUUAGCGGUAACGCGAAGCUCUUGAUCGAAGCCCCGGUAAACGGCGGCCGUAACUAUAACGGUCCUAAGGUAGCGAAAUUCCUUGUCGGGUAAGUUCCGACCUGCACGAAUGGCGUAAUGAUGGCCAGGCUGUCUCCACCCGAGACUCAGUGAAAUUGAACUCGCUGUGAAGAUGCAGUGUACCCGCGGCAAGACGGAAAGACCCCGUGAACCUUUACUAUAGCUUGACACUGAACAUUGAGCCUUGAUGUGUAGGAUAGGUGGGNNNNNNNNNNNNNNNNNNNNNNNNNNNNNNNNNNNNNNNNNNNNAAUACCACCCUUUAAUGUUUGAUGUUCUAACGUUGACCCGUAAUCCGGGUUGCGGACAGUGUCUGGUGGGUAGUUUGACUGGGGCGGUCUCCUCCUAAAGAGUAACGGAGGAGCACGAAGGUUGGCUAAUCCUGGUCGGACAUCAGGAGGUUAGUGCAAUGGCAUAAGCCAGCUUGACUGCGAGCGUGACGGCGCGAGCAGGUGCGAAAGCAGGUCAUAGUGAUCCGGUGGUUCUGAAUGGAAGGGCCAUCGCUCAACGGAUAAAAGGUACUCCGGGGAUAACAGGCUGAUACCGCCCAAGAGUUCAUAUCGACGGCGGUGUUUGGCACCUCGAUGUCGGCUCAUCACAUCCUGGGGCUGAAGUAGGUCCCAAGGGUAUGGCUGUUCGCCAUUUAAAGUGGUACGCGAGCUGGGUUUAGAACGUCGUGAGACAGUUCGGUCCCUAUCUGCCGUGGGCGCUGGAGAACUGAGGGGGGCUGCUCCUAGUACGAGAGGACCGGAGUGGACGCAUCACUGGUGUUCGGGUUGUCAUGCCAAUGGCACUGCCCGGUAGCUAAAUGCGGAAGAGAUAAGUGCUGAAAGCAUCUAAGCACGAAACUUGCCCCGAGAUGAGUUCUCCCUGACUCCUUGAGAGUCCUGAAGGAACGUUGAAGACGACGACGUUGAUAGGCCGGGUGUGUAAGCGCAGCGAUGCGUUGAGCUAACCGGUACUAAUGAACCGUGAGGCUUAACCUU
rnacentral:rRNA from 1 species